CCUACGGGCGGCAGCAGUGAGGAAUAUUGGUCAAUGGGCGCGAGCCUGAACCAGCCAAGUCGCGUGAGGGAAGACGGCCCUAUGGUUUGUAAACUUCUUUUAUAAAGGAAUAUAACGAGGCACGUGUGCCUUUUUGCAUGUACUUUAUGAAUAAGGAUCGGCUAACUCCGUGCCAGCAGCGGCGGUAAUACGGAGGAUCCGAGCGUUAUCCGGAUUUAUUGGGUUUAAAGGGAGCGUAGAUGGGUUGUUAAGUCAGUUGUGAAAGUUUGCGGCUCAACCGUAAAAUUGCAAUUGAUACUGGCAGUCUUGAGUACAGUUGAGGUAGGCGGAAUUCGUGGUGUAGCGGUGAAAUGCGUAGAUAUCACGAAGAACCCCGAUUGCGAAGGCAGCUUACUAAACUGUGACUGACAUUGAUGCUCGAAAGUGUGGGUAUCAAACAGGAUUAGAUACCCCUGUAGUC
rnacentral:rRNA from 1 species